rnacentral:rRNA from 1 species
ACACUUGGGUAACCUGCCCAUCAGAACCUCAACCGGAGUGGAAACAGGUGCUAAUACCGUAUAACACUAUUUUCCGCAUGGAAGAAAGUUGAAAGGCGCUUUUGCGUCUCUGAUGGAUGGACCCGCGGUGCAUUAGCUAGUUGGUGAGGUAACGGCUCACCAAGGCAACGAUGCAUAGCCGACCUGAGAGGGUGAUCGGCCACACUGGGACUGAGACACGGCCCAGACUCCUACGGGAGGCAGCAGUAGGGAAUCUUCGGCAAUGGACGAAAGUCUGACCGAGCAACGCCGCGUGAGUGAAGAAGGUUUUCGGAUCGUAAAACUCUGUUGUUAGAGAAGAACAAGGAUGAGAGUAAAACGUUCAUCCCUUGACGGUAUCUGACCAGAAAGCCACGGCUAACUACGUGCCAGCAGCCGCGGUAAUACGUAGGUGGCAAGCGUUGUCCGGAUUUAUUGGGCGUAAAGCGAGCGCAGGCGGUUUCUUAAGUCUGAUGUGAAAGCCCCCGGCUCAACCGGGGAGGGUCAUUGGAAACUGGGAGACUUGAGUGCAGAAGAGGAGAGUGGAAUUCCAUGUGUAGCGGUGAAAUGCGUAGAUAUAUGGAGGAACACCAGUGGCGAAGGCGGCUCUCUGGUCUGUAACUGACGCUGAGGCUCGAAAGCGUGGGGAGCGAACAGGAUUAGAUACCCUGGUAGUCCACGCCGUAAACGAUGAGUGCUAAGUGUUGGAGGGGUUCCG